GACGAACGCUGGCGGCGUGCUUAACACAUGCAAGUCGAACGCUGAAGCUUGGUGCUUGCACUGGGUGGAUGAGUGGUGAACGGGUGAGUAAUACGUGAGUAACCUGCCCUUGACUCUGGGAUAAGCCUGGGAAACUGGGUCUAAUACUGGAUACGACAUGUCACCGCAUGGUGGUGUGUGGAAAGGGUUUUACUGGUUUUGGAUGGGCUCACGGCCUAUCAGCUUGUUGGUGGGGUAAUGGCUCACCAAGGCGACGACGGGUAGCCGGCCUGAGAGGGUGACCGGCCACACUGGGACUGAGACACGGCCCAGACUCCUACGGGAGGCAGCAGUGGGGAAUAUUGCACAAUGGGCGGAAGCCUGAUGCAGCGACGCCGCGUGAGGGAUGACGGCCUUCGGGUUGUAAACCUCUUUCAGCACGGAAGAAGCGAAAGUGACGGUACGUGCAGAAGAAGCGCCGGCUAACUACGUG
rnacentral:rRNA from 1 species